rnacentral:tRNA from 2 species
GGAAGCGUGCCAGAGCGGUUGAAUGGGCUAGUCUUGAAAACUAGAAGGCAUGAAAGUGCCUCGGAGGUUCGAAUCCUCCCGCUUCCG